AGGGGUGUAGCCAAGCGGUAAGGCACGGGGCUUUGGACCCCGGAGCGCAGGUUCGAAUCCUGCUACCCCUGCCA
rnacentral:tRNA from 1 species